UAAGCGAUUAAAUCUCUCGAGUAGACGCUGUCUCUUUAGAUGCGAGGGAAAAAUAGCACUUUAUGGACUUCCACAGAGGACAUCAUGUUUAAUACGGUUCCGGAAAAAUCCAGUCAAAAGUUGUUCACGGAGUUUUCACAAUAACUGCUUCUCAUGAACCGAAGCUGGAUUUGCGCGACGUCUCCUCUUGAAAGUUGGAUUACUGUGCACUUCUGGAUCACAGGCUGUAAGUAUUCACGUUUAUUAUUUGCCUUUUACUGUACGUUACGUAACCGGUAACCGGAGAUUAACAUAAUGUGCGUGUAGAGCUAAGCUUGCAAGCUAAUUGUUUUGUGUUGUAAUACUGUAUUUCAUAAACAACGUACCAUAUUUACACACGUGUAUGUUGAAUUAUGCAGACUAUCGUUUUUUUUAUCGAUGUUGGUUUAGACAUGUUUACAAACUUGCUAAGUUGCUAAGCUAAAUACAAAUACAAAUGCCAGCUAAACUGUUACCAGUAAAAUUUGUUCUCAUGAUCAAACUCAAGAAACUCUAAGUACAGAUGAUUUGUUUAAAGUUAUAUGUAUUUUACUGUUGUAUUUACUUGAAGCUUUCUUAGAUUUUGAAACGAAGUAAACACGUAAUGUGUGUUGCUAAUGUUGGGCCAUGUAAUAUGUAAUACAUUAACGUUUUAAUGAAUAGUCUAACGAUUUAUAGUCAUGGUACUCUAUUGUUAUAAUAUGUCUUUUUGACUGAAUACAUGUUUGUUUUAUUUGUCUAUAUCUUAGAUUCGCAGCUGGACACAUCCUUCUACACUGUAUGCAAACAUGCAACAUCAUUACACACAGUACAAGGAGUCAGACUGGCAUAUGAGGAGCAAAGGAACCCAGGCAGUAGCAUCGUUUCACAAUGUUUCCAUCACCAUCAUCAGUGGAUGCCUUUGCUGUCCGUAGCCUGAGAUUUCAGAUUUGCAGCAAAAAAAAUUGAUUUUCUCAUUUAUUGGAAUGCUGUGCAGGUAUUUGUACCUUGCAGCCAUCCAUUACAAUGUCACCAAGCCGUAACAAAAGCAGGAGAGGGAAAGUACAAGGCUAUGUUCCCAAAACACACAAGUGACAUACCUUAUGUGGAGGAUGUGAUCAGGCUUGUGUUUGAUGAGGUAUUUGAAGAUAAGCUGAAGGAAACCCCGAUUCCAAUGGACCUGGCAUCACAGUUUGAGAGACCUUCAAAGGAGGACGUGAUUGCAUGCCAUCUUCAGUGCAGGGGUCGUCGAAAGCCAAAAUUGUGACCGAUCUGAUCAGGAAGCUCCAAGCGUAUCUGGAGAACAACACACGACAGGAUGAUAACCUUAUAGUGUCGUCUUAAAUAGCACCAGCUGACAAAGCUUUGAUAUGCCAUUUAUCUGAAUAGAUAGCUGUAAGAAAUGAAUUGAACAAUUUUUGAAACAAGAGCACA